AGUGAACGCUGGCGGCGUGCCUAAUACAUGCAAGUCGAACGGACGAGUAAGAGCUUGCUCUUAUGAGUUAGUGGCGCACGGGUGAGUAAUGUAUAGCUAAUCUGCCCUACACUAGAGGACAACAGUUGGAAACGACUGCUAAUACUCUAUACUCCUCUCUAGCAUAAGUUAGAUAGGGAAAGUUUUUCGGUGUAGGAUGAGGCUAUAUUGUAUCAGCUAGUUGGUGAGGUAAUGGCUCACCAAGGCUAUGACGCAUAACUGGUCUGAGAGGAUGAUCAGUCACACUGGAACUGAGACACGGUCCAGACUCCUGCGGGAGGCAGCAGUAGGGAAUAUUGCUCAAUGGGGGAAACCCUGAAGCAGCAACGCCGCGUGGAGGAUGACACUUUUCGGAGCGUAAACUCCUUUUGUUAGGGAAGAACAAUGACGGUACCUAACGAAUAAGCACCGGCUAACUCCGUGCCAGCAGCCGCGGUAAUACGGAGGGUGCAAGCGUUACUCGGAAUCACUGGGCGUAAAGGACGCGUAGGCGGAUUAUCAAGUCUCUUGUGAAAUCCUAUGGCUUAACCAUAGAACUGCUUGGGAAACUGAUAAUCUAGAGUGAGGGAGAGGCAGAUGGAAUUGGUGGUGUAGGGGUAAAAUCCGUAGAGAUCACCAGGAAUACCCAUUGCGAAGGCGAUCUGCUGGAACUCAGCUGACGCUAAUGCGUGAAAGCAUGGGGAGCGAACAGG
rnacentral:rRNA from 1 species